GAUGAACGCUGGCGGUAUGCCUUACACAUGCAAGUCGUACGAGAGUUUUUAACUCAAGUGGCGGACGGGUGAGUAACACGUAAGAAUUUGCCUUUAGGAGGGGGACAACUGCUGGAAACGGCUGCUAAUACCCCAUAUGCUUUCGAGUGAAAUGGAUUUUCCGCCUAAAGAGAAGCUUGCGGCUGAUUAGCUUGUUGGUGAGGUAAUAGCUCACCAAGGCGACGAUCAGUAUCG
rnacentral:rRNA from 1 species